rnacentral:rRNA from 1 species
ACCCUAAACAAUACGGGUCUAUAAUGCAGUCGAGCGAAUGGAUUAAGAGCUUGCUCUUAUGAAGUUAGCGGCGGACGGGUGAGUAACACGUGGGUAACCUGCCCAUAAGACUGGGAUAACUCCGGGAAACCGGGGCUAAUACCGGAUAACAUUUUGAACCGCAUGGUUCGAAAUUGAAAGGCGGCUUCGGCUGUCACUUAUGGAUGGACCCGCGUCGCAUUAGCUAGUUGGUGAGGUAACGGCUCACCAAGGCAACGAUGCGUAGCCGACCUGAGAGGGUGAUCGGCCACACUGGGACUGAGACACGGCCCAGACUCCUACGGGAGGCAGCAGUAGGGAAUCUUCCGCAAUGGACGAAAGUCUGACGGAGCAACGCUGCGUGAGUGAUGAAGGCUUUCGGGUCGUAAAACUCUGUUGUUAGGGAAGAACAAGUGCUAGUUGAAUAAGCUGGCACCUUGACGGUACCUAACCAGAAAGCCACGGCUAACUACGUGCCAGCAGCCGCGGUAAUACGUAGGUGGCAAGCGUUAUCCGGAAUUAUUGGGCGUAAAGCGCGCGCAGGUGGUUUCUUAAGUCUGAUGUGAAAGCCCACGGCUCAACCGUGGAGGGUCAUUGGAAACUGGGAGACUUGAGUGCAGAAGAGGAAAGUGGAAUUCCAUGUGUAGCGGUGAAAUGCGUAGAGAUAUGGAGGAACACCAGUGGCGAAGGCGACUUUUCUGGGUCUGUAACUGACACUGAUGCGCGAAAGCGUGGGGAGCACACAGGAUUAGAUUCCCCUGGUAAUCCACGCCGUAAACGAUGAGUUGCUAAGUGUUAGAGGGUUUUCCGCCCCUUUA